UGGGGAAUAUUGGACAAUGGGCGAAAGCCUGAUCCAGCCAUGCCGCGUGUGUGAAGAAGGUCUUCGGAUUGUAAAGCACUUUAAGUUGGGAGGAAGGGCAUUAACCUAAUACGUUAGUGUUUUGACGUUACCGACAGAAUAAGCACCGGCUAACUCUGUGCCAGCAGCCGCGGUAAUACAGAGGGUGCAAGCGUUAAUCGGAAUUACUGGGCGUAAAGCGCGCGUAGGUGGUUUGUUAAGUUGGAUGUGAAAUCCACGGGCUCAACCUGGGAACUGCAUUCAAAACUGACUGACUAGAGUAUGGUAGAGGGUGGUGGAAUUUACUGUGUAGCGGUGAAAUGCGUAGAUAUAGGAAGGAACACCAGUGGCGAAGGCGACCACCUGGACUAAUACAGACACUGAGGUGCGAAAGCGUGAGGAGCAAACA
rnacentral:rRNA from 1 species